rnacentral:rRNA from 1 species
GCAGGCUAACGCUUGAAUACAUUAGCAUGGAAUAAUGAAAUAGGACAUCGCAUUCUAUUUUGUUGGUUUCUAGGAUCGAUGUAAUGAUUAAUAGGGAUAGUUGGGGGCAUUAGUAUUCAAUUGUCAGAGGUGAAAUUCUUGGAUUUAUUGAAGACUAACUACUGCGAAAGCAUUUGCCAAGGAUGUUUUCAUUAAUCAAGAACGAAAGUUAGGGGAUCGAAGACGAUCAGAUACCGUCGUAGUCUUAACCAUAAACUAUGCCGACUAGGGAUCGGAUGAUGUUGAUUUUUUAAUGACUCAUUCGGCACCUUACGGGAAACCAAAGUGUUUGGGUUCCGGGGGGAGUAUGGUCGCAAGGCUGAAACUUAAAGGAAUUGACGGAAGGGCACCACCAGGCGUGGAGCCUGCG